CCUACGGGAGGCAGCAGUAGGGAAUUUUCGUCAAUGGGCGCAAGCCUGAACGAGCAAUGCCGCGUGAACGAGGAAGGUCUUCGGAUCGUAAAGUUCUGUUGAAGGGGAAAAAGAGCGGAGAGAGGAAAUGGUCUCCGAUUGAUAUUAACCUUCGAGGAAGUCACGGCUAACUACGUGCCAGCAGCCGCGGUAAUACGGAGGAUCCGAGCGUUAUCUGGAUUUAUUGGGUUUAAAGGGUGCGUAGGUGGAAUGCCAAGUCAGCGGUAAAAUCGCGGGGCUCAACCUCGCUCCGCCGUUGAAACUGGCGUUCUUGAGUGGGCGAGAAGUAUGCGGAAUGCGUGGUGUAGCGGUGAAAUGCAUAGAUAUCACGCAGAACCCCGAUUGCGAAGGCAGCAUACCGGUGCACAACUGACGCUCAGGCACGAAAGCGUGGGUAUCGAACAGGAUUAGAUACCCCUGUAGUC
rnacentral:rRNA from 1 species